ensembl:lncRNA
GCAAAAAAUAGUUAAAAAAUCAUACACCCUGGCCACAAGCACUGUAGGUUAUUAUAGCACUGUAACACAAUGGGAAGUGCAGUAACAACAACAUAGUAUUAUGGUCCCAGGCUACAAGACAUGAGAAUGUGCUCAAAUACAACAUCUGUGGGCAGAGAAAUAAAAGACAGAAACUGUUUACUUUCAAAAGACCUCAGGUAUACAGGGAUCCUGGCUCCACCCCUUCCAGUCACUCAGUUGUCCUUUAGGGGCAGAAGAGGGGCUCAGCCCAUCAACUGAUCCAAGAAGACAGAGGUGUUCUCCUAUCUUGUUUACAGUGGUAUAGGCUAGAAGUUCAUACCACAUGCCUGGUGGGGAGUGGUUGCAUCCUGGAGGUAUAAAGUACGAGUGGAGAGGCAGCAGGAAGAACGCACAUCUUGAGCAUAAAGAUCUGAUGCUGAUAAGUCAAGAUUUGGAAGGACCUCCUUGAGUCACUGGAGGGCUGACUGUUGUGGGAGCAUCAAGAAAAGCUGAGCCAGCAAAAGUUUCAAGGUCCUGAAGAGUUUUGCACCUGGCCCACCACAUCAGUGCUGCACUUGUGCCUGAUCACCAGGGACAAUUGUGUUCCUGUUUCCAUUGUGCAGUCAUGCAGAAAACAUCUCUCAUCCGAGCUCGAAGCGGUGGCGUGAGUUACACAUUGGUGGUGUGAGUCACACAUUACAGGCUGGCGUCAGCCACUUCCAGGAAGGAGGGCAGACAUGGCAGCAGGACUGGUGGAAUGGGGUGGCGCCUCUCUCCAGAAUGUUAGCAUGUUGCUGAAAUCACAUGAGAACAACAAUCUGGAAUUGGCUCUAGGAUUUGAUCACACGAGAACACAGUGAUAGGUCAGCUGUCAUGACCUACUUAGCUUUCUGGAAGGAGUGCUGCAGUCUCCUGAUGAUGGUAAAGCCCUUGUACAGGCUGAACAAGUCCAGUUCCUUCAGCCUUUCUUCAUAGGAGAGGUGCUCCAGCACUUGGAUCAUCUUCAUGGCCCUCCUCUCAACCCUCUCCCAAAGCUCCACGUCUUUCCUGUAGUGGGAGCACCAGAAUUGGACUCAGUACUCCUGCUGGGGCCUCACGAGGGCAGAAUAGAGAGGGACAAUCACUUCUGUUGCCCUGCUGGCCACGCCUCUUCUGAUGGAACCCAGAAUACCAUUGGCCUUCUGGGCUACAACUGCACACUGCUGGCUCAUGUUAAGUUUUUCAUCAACCAGGAUCUCUAAG